UUAUCGGAGAGUUUGAUCCUGGCUCAGGACGAACGCUGGCGGCGUGCCUAAUACAUGCAAGUCGAGCGGACAGACGGGAGCUUGCUCCCUGAUGUUAGCGGCGGACGG
rnacentral:rRNA from 1 species